rnacentral:rRNA from 1 species
CCGGCGACCGGCGCACGGGUGGAGUAACACGUAUGGAACCUGCCCGCAGCAGGGGGAUAAGCGGAAGAAAUUCCGUCUAAUACCGCGUAACAACGUUGGGAGGCAUCUCCCGAUGUUUAAAGAUUUAUCGGCUGCGGAUGGCCAUGCGGCGCAUUAGCUAGUCGGCGGGGUAACGGCCCACCGAGGCGACGAUGCGUAGGGGUUCUGAGAGGAAGGUCCCCCACACUGGUACUGAGACACGGACCAGACUCCUACGGAAGGCAGCAG